rnacentral:rRNA from 1 species
AUUGAACGCUGGCGGCAGGCCUAACACAUGCAAGUCGAACGCGUGGCGGACGGGUGAGUAAUGUCUGGGAAACUGCCCGAUGGAGGGGGAUAACUACUGGAAACGGUAGCUAAUACCGCAUACCCUCGGAUGUGCCCAGAUGGGAUUGGCUUGUAGGUGAGGUAACGCCUCACCUAGGCGACGAGCACUAGCUGGGCUGAGAGGAGGAACAGCAAAACGGGAACUGAGACAAGGUCCCGCCUCCUACGGGAGGAAGCAGUGGGGAAUAUUGCACAAUGGGCUCAAGCAUGAUGCAGCCAUGCCGCGGGUAUGAAGAAGGCCUUCGGGUUGUAAAGGACUUGCAGCGGGGAGGCGUUACCCGCAGAAGAAUCACCGGCUAACUCCGUGCCAGCAGCCGCGGUAAUAC